rnacentral:hammerhead_ribozyme from 1 species
AUCUAGCUGAUGAGUCCAAAAUAGGACGAAACGUGAAUCAAACUGGAC